UUUAACUUGGUGUUUUUGUUUCUUUAAUUAGAUGUUAGUCAGUUAGUAAAAACGGCUAAUUGUAGUACGUCGAAUUAAAAUUGUGUUAGUAAAAGUUAUGAUUGUAAAAAUCCGAUUGUUAAAAGUUAAUUGUUCAAACACAAACAUCGACAAACAAGAAGAAACUAUAAGAAAAAGGUCCGAGGCAAGGGCCUUUUUCUUUCAUUUUGGGCUUUUUCCCAGCAAACGGCCGGAGAAAGCGACGACGAGCCACCUCUAGCGACGCACCAACUCCAAUGCCAGCCAUAAGACGCUAUUGUUGAUGGCAUCCCACGGUUCGAACGCCUAUGAACCCCCUCACCCGGCGACAAGCUCCCCUGCAACCAUCCGCCAUUGCGAAAGCGGCAUAUUCGCCUUUGGACUCCGCACCAUCUCGCCCGGUUGCUACCAGUAAUCGGCGACUGCGGCAAUCCGCCUUGGAUUCUGGCGCAGAUACCCAACACCAGUUCGGCAUUCGCUGUCGAAUCGAACCUGCAUCAAUCGGA